CGAAUGCUGACAUAAGUAACGAUAAAGCGGGUGAAAAGCCCGCUCGCCGGAAGACCAAGGGUUCCUGUCCAACGUUAAUCGGGGCAGGGUGAGUCGACCCCUAAGGCGAGGCCGAAAGGCGUAGUCGAUGGGAAACAGGUUAAUAUUCCUGUACUUGGUGUUACUGCGAAGGGGGGACGGAGAAGGCUAUGUUGGCCGGGCGACGGUUGUCCCGGUUUAAGCGUGUAGGCUGGUUUUCCAGGCAAAUCCGGAAAAUCAAGGCUGAGGCGUGAUGACGAGGCACUACGGUGCUGAAGCAACAAAUGCCCUGCUUCCAGGAAAAGCCUCUAAGCAUCAGGUAACAUCAAAUCGUACCCCAAACCGACACAGGUGGUCAGGUAGAGAAUACCAAGGCGCUUGAGAGAACUCGGGUGAAGGAACUAGGCAAAAUGGUGCCGUAACUUCGGGAGAAGGCACGCUGAUAUGUAGGUGAAGUCCCUCGCGGAUGGAGCUGAAAUCAGUCGAAGAUACCAGCUGGCUGCAACUGUUUAUUAAAAACACAGCACUGUGCAAACACGAAAGUGGACGUAUACGGUGUGACGCCUGCCCGGUGCCGGAAGGUUAAUUGAUGGGGUCAGCGCAAGCGAAGCUCUUGAUCGAAGCCCCGGUAAACGGCGGCCGUAACUAUAACGGUCCUAAGGUAGCGAAAUUCCUUGUCGGGUAAGUUCCGACCUGCACGAAUGGCGUAAUGAUGGCCAGGCUGUCUCCACCCGAGACUCAGUGAAAUUGAACUCGCUGUGAAGAUGCAGUGUACCCGCGGCAAGACGGAAAGACCCCGUGAACCUUUACUAUAGCUUGACACUGAACAUUGAGCCUUGAUGUGUAGGAUAGGUGGGAGGCUUUGAAGUGUGGACGCCAGUCUGCAUGGAGCCGACCUUGAAAUACCACCCUUUAAUGUUUGAUGUUCUAACGUGGACCCGUGAUCCGGGUUGCGGACAGUGUCUGGUGGGUAGUUUGACUGGGGCGGUCUCCUCCUAAAGAGUAACGGAGGAGCACGAAGGUUGGCUAAUCCUGGUCGGACAUCAGGAGGUUAGUGCAAUGGCAUAAGCCAGCUUGACUGCGAGCGUGACGGCGCGAGCAGGUGCGAAAGCAGGUCAUAGUGAUCCGGUGGUUCUGAAUGGAAGGGCCAUCGCUCAACGGAUAAAAGGUACUCCGGGGAUAACAGGCUGAUACCGCCCAAGAGUUCAUAUCGACGGCGGUGUUUGGCACCUCGAUGUCGGCUCAUCACAUCCUGGGGCUGAAGUAGGUCCCAAGGGUAUGGCUGUUCGCCAUUUAAAGUGGUACGCGAGCUGGGUUUAGAACGUCGUGAGACAGUUCGGUCCCUAUCUGCCGUGGGCGCUGGAGAACUGAGGGGGGCUGCUCCUAGUACGAGAGGACCGGAGUGGACGCAUCACUGGUGUUCGGGUUGUCAUGCCAAUGGCACUGCCCGGUAGCUAAAUGCGGAAGAGA
rnacentral:rRNA from 1 species